CGUAGAGGGGGGUAGAAUUCCAGGUGUAGCGGUGAAAUGCGUAGAGAUCUGGAGGAAUACCGGUGGCGAAGGCGGCCCCCUGGACGAAGACUGACGCUCAGGUGCGAAAGCGUGGGGAGCAAACAGGAUUAGAUACCCUGGUAGUCCACGCCGUAAACGAUGUCGACUUGGAGGUUGUGCCCUUGAGGCGUGGCUUCCGGAGCUAACGCGUUAAGUCGACCGCCUGGGGAGUACGGCCGCAAGGUUAAAACUCAAAUGAAUUGACGGGGGCCCGCACAAGCGGUGGAGCAUGUGGUUUAAUUCGAUGCAACGCGAAGAACC
rnacentral:rRNA from 1 species